rnacentral:rRNA from 1 species
GACAGAGGGUGCAAACGUUGUUCGGAAUUACUGGGCGUAAAGCGUGUGUAGGUGGCUGCGAAAGUCGGAUGUGAAAGCCCUGGGCUCAACUCAGGAAGUGCACCCGAUACUGCGUAGCUCGAGUACCGGAGAGGUUGGUAGAAUUCUCGGGUGUAGAGGUGAAAUUCGUAGAUAUCGAGAGGAAUACCUGUGGCGAAGGCGGCCAACUGGACGAGUACUGACACUGAGACACG